AAGCUCGUAGUUGAAUUUCGGGAUUGGCGUGUCGGUCGUGCCUUAAGGGGUAUGAACUGGCGUCGUCGAUUUCUCACCUUCUGGAGAAUCACGAUGCCCUUAAUUGGGUGUCGUGUGGAACCAGGACCUUUACUUUGAAAAAAUUAGAGUGUUAAAGCAGGCAUUUUGCUUGAAUACAUUAGCAUGGAAUAAUGGAAUAGGACAAUGGUUCUAUUUGUUGGUUUCUAGGACCGUUGUAAUGAUAAUAGGGAUAGUGGG
rnacentral:rRNA from 1 species